rnacentral:rRNA from 1 species
UACGUAGGGGGCAAGCGUUGUCCGGAAUCAUUGGGCGUAAAGAGCGUGUAGGCGGCCAGAUAAGUCCGCUGUGAAAUCUCGAGGCUCAACUUCGAGCUGUCGGUGGAAACUGUCUGACUAGAGUUCGGAAGAGGCGAGUGGAAUUCCCGGUGUAGCGGUGAAAUGCGCAGAUAUCGGGAGGAACACCUAUGGCGAAGGCAGCUCGCUGGGACGUUACUGACGCUGAGACGCGAAAGCGUGGGGAGCAAACAGG